rnacentral:rRNA from 1 species
CCCUUAGAUGUUCUGGGCCGCACGCGCGCUACACUGACGAAGUCAGCGAGCAUCUCCUACGCCGAAAGGUGCGGGGAAUCUUGUGAAACUUUGUCGUGCUGGGGAUUGAUUUUUGAAAUUCUUGAUCAUCAACGAGGAAUUCCUAGUAAGCGCAAGUCAGCAGCUUGCGUUGAUUACGUCCCUGCCCUUUGUACACACCGCCCGUCGCUACUACCGAUUGAAUGGUUUAGUGAGAUUUUUGGACUGGAACUCUCUUGUUCAGCAAUGAACGAGAGGGACUCUGGGAAGCUAUUCUAACUGUAUCAUUUAGAGGAAGUAAAAGUCGUAACA